rnacentral:ncRNA from 4 species
UACGGAGGGAGCUAGCGUUAUUCGGAAUUACUGGGCGUAAAGCGCACGUAGGCGGCUUUGUAAGUAAGAGGUGAAAGCCCAGAGCUCAACUCUGGAAUUGCCUUUUAGACUGCAUCGCUUGAAUCAUGGAGAGGUCAGUGGAAUUCCGAGUGUAGAGGUGAAAUUCGUAGAUAUUCGGAAGAACACCAGUGGCGAAGGCGGCUGACUGGACAUGUAUUGACGCUGAGGUGCGAAAGCGUGGGGAGCAAACAGG